AUUGAACGCUGGCGGCAUGCCUAACACAUGCAAGUCGAACGGAGGGCUUCGGCCCUCAGUGGCGGACGGGUGAGUAACGCGUAGGGAUCUGCCCCGCAGUGGGGGACAACCUGGGGAAACUCAGGCUAAUACCGCAUACGCUCCAUGGAGGAAAGCGGGGGACCUUCGGGCCUCGCGCUGCGGGAUGAACCUACGUCCGAUUAGCUAGUUGGUGGGGUAAGGGCCCACCAAGGCGACGAUCGGUAGCUGGUCUGAGAGGACGGCCAGCCACACUGGGACUGAGACACGGCCCAGACUCCUACGGGAGGCAGCAGUGGGGAAUAUUGGACAAUGGGCGCAAGCCUGAUCCAGCAAUGCCGCGUGGGUGAAGACGGCCUGCGGGUUGUAAAGCCCUUUAGGCGGGGAAGAACGGCCGGGCGCGAAUAGCGCGCGG
rnacentral:rRNA from 1 species